rnacentral:rRNA from 1 species
ACCCCUGUGACAUACCACUUGUUGCCUCGGCGGAUCAGCCCGCUCCCGGUAAAACGGGACGGCCCGCCAGAGGACCCCUAAACUCUGUUUCUAUAUGUAACUUCUGAGUAAAACCAUAAAUAAAUCAAAACUUUCAACAACGGAUCUCUUGGUUCUGGCAUCGAUGAAGAACGCAGCAAAAUGCGAUAAGUAAUGUGAAUUGCAGAAUUCAGUGAAUCAUCGAAUCUUUGAACGCACAUUGCGCCCGCCAGUAUUCUGGCGGGCAUGCCUGUUCGAGCGUCAUUUCAACCCUCAAGCACAGCUUGGUGUUGGGACUCGCGUUAAUUCGCGUUCCUCAAAUUGAUUGGCGGUCACGUCGAGCUUCCAUAGCGUAGUAGUAAAACCCUCGUUACUGGUAAUCGUCGCGGCCACGCCGUUAAACCCCAACUUCUGAAUGUUGACCUCGGAUCAGGUAGGAAUACCCGCUGAACUUAAGCAUAUCAAUAA